rnacentral:piRNA from 1 species
UAGGACUUUUUGGACCCCUGGAACUUUCCAUC